rnacentral:rRNA from 1 species
AGAGUUUGAUCAUGGCUCAGGAUGAACGCUAGCUACAGGCUUAACACAUGCAAGUCGAGGGGAAACGGACAUCGAAAGCUUUGCUUUUGAUGGGCGUCGACCGGCGCACGGGUGAGUAACGCGUAUCCAACCUGCCCACCACUUGGGGAUAACCUUGGCGAAAGUAAGACUAAUACCCAAUGACGUCUCUAGAAGACAUCUGAAAGAGAUUUAAAGAUUUAUCGGUGAUGGAUGGGGAUGCGUCUGAUUAGCUUGUUGGGCGGGGUAACGGCCCACAAGGCGACGAUCAGUAGGGGUUCUGAGAGGACGGUCCCCCANAUUGGAACUGAGACACGGUCCAAACUCCGUACGGGAGCA